rnacentral:tRNA from 1 species
CAAUAAUUAGUUUAUUUAAAAUAUUAAUUUUGGAGAUUAAAGAAGAAUUUAUUUUUAUUAUUGA